UACGUCCUGCAGGUGGUCUUUGUCUCCUGUAGGUCCUGCAGGUGGUCUUUGUCUCCCGUAUGUCCUGUAGGUGGUCUUUGUGUCCUGUACAUCCUGUAGGUGGUCUAUGUCUCCUGUACGCCCUGUAGGUGGUCUUUGUGUCCUGUAGGUCUUGUAGGUGGUCUAUAUCUCCUGUACGUCCUGUAGGUGGUCUUUGUGUCCUGUAGGUCCUGUAGGUGGUCUAUGUCUCCUGUACGUCCUGUAGGUGGUCUUUGUGUCCUGUACGUCCUGUAGGUGGUCUAUGUCUCCUGUAGGUCCUGCAGGUGGUCUUUGUCUCCUGUAUGUCCUGUAGGUGGUCUUUGUGUCCUGUACAUCCUGUAGGUGGUCUAUGUCUCCUGUACAUCCUGUAGGUGGUCUUUGUGUCCUGUAGGUCUUGUAGGUGGUCUAUGUCUCCUGUACGUCCUGUAGGUGGUCUUUGUGUCCUGUAGGUCCUGUAGGUGGUCUAUGCCUCCUGUACGUCCUGUAGGUGGUCUAUGUCCCCUGUAGGUCCUGUAGGUGGUCUAUGUCUCCUGUAUGUCCUGUAGGUGGUCUAUGUCUCCUGUAUGUCCUGCAGGUGGUCUAUGUCUCCCGUAUGUCCUGUAGGUGGUCUAUGUCUCCUGUAUGUCCUGUAGGUGGUCUAUGUCUCCUGUAUGUCCUGCAGGUGGUCUAUGUCUCCCGUAUGUCCUGUACGUGGUCUAUGUGUCCUGUAGGUCUUGUAGGUAGUCUAUGUCUCCUGUACGUCCUGUAGGUGGUCUUUGUGUCCUGUAGGUCCUGUAGGUGGUCUAUGUCUCCUGUCUGUCCUGUAGGUGGUCUUUGUGUCCUGUAGGUCCUGUAGGUGGUCUAUGUCUCCUGUAUGUCCUGUAGCUGGUCUAUGUCUCCUGUAUGUCGUGCAGGAGGUCUAUGUCUCCUGUAUGUCCUGUAGGUGGUCUUUGUGUCCUGUAUGUCCUGCAGCUGGUCUAUGUCUCCUGUAUGUCCUGCAGGUGGUCUUUGUCUCCCGUAUGUCCUGUAGGUGGUCUUUUUGUCCUGUACGUCCUGUAGGUGGUCUUUGUGUCCUGUAGGUCCUGUAGGUGGUCUAUGUCUCCUGUACGUCCUGCAGGUGGUCUAUGUCUCCUUUAUGUCCUGCAGGUGGUCUAUGUCUCCUUUAUGUCCUGCAGGUGGUCUAUGUCUCCUGUAUGUCCUGCAGAUAGUCUAUGUCUCCCGUAUGUCCUGUAGGUGGUCUUUGUGUCCUGUAUGUCCUGCAGGUUGUCUAUGUCUCCUUUAUGUCCUGUAGGUGGUCUUUGUGUCCUGUACGUCCUGCAGGUGGUCUUUGUCUCUUGUAGGUCCUGCAGGUGGUCUUUGUCUCCCGUAUGUCCUGUAGGUGGUCUUUGUGUCCUGUAGGUCUUGUAGGUGGUCUAUGUCUCCUGUACAUCCUGUAGGUGGUCUUUGUGUCCUGUAGGUCCUGUAGGUGGUCUAUGUCUCCUGUAGGUCCUGUAGGUGGUCUUUGUGUCUUGUACGUCCUGUGGGUGGUCUAUGUCUCCUGUAGGACCUGCAGGUGGUCUUUGUCUCCCGUAUGUCCUGUAGGUGGUCUUUGUGUCCUGUACAUCCUGUAGGCGGUCUAUGUCUCCUGUACGUCCUGUAGGUGGUCUUUGUGUCCUGUAGGUCUUGUAGGUGGUCUAUGUCUCCUGUAUGUCCUGUAGGUGGUCUUUGUGUCCUGUAGGUCCUGUAGGUGGUCUAUGUCUCCUGUAUGUCCUGUAGGUGGUCUAUGUCUCCUGUAUGUCCUGCAGGUGGUCUAUGUCUCCCGUAUGUCCUGUAGGUGGUCUAUGUCUCCCGUACGUCCUGUAGGUGGUCUAUGUCUCCCGUAUGUCCUGUAGGUGGUCUUUGUGUCCUGUAGGUCUUGUAGGUGGUCUAUGUCUCCUGUACGUCCUGUAGGUGGUCUUUGUGUCCUGUAG